rnacentral:lncRNA from 1 species
GGGUCCACAUUGAGUCGGUGUACUAUGACCUCUGGAUCCACAUCUGGUAUAUCUAAAGCCGACCAAGCAAAUAUAUCGACGUUUGUUUGUAGAAAAGAGAUGAGAUGCAGAUGAUCUUCUUCACAUAAGUUUGAGCCGAUUUGGACCACUUUAUUCAGAUCUUCACCAAUGGGUACUGAUAUCAGGUCGUCUACUGGCUGUCCUCUGUGUUCAAUUUUCUCAUCUCGCACAUCUAGCUCAUCCGUCGAUUAUUCCAUAGGUGCCACUCCUCACAG